AGAGUUUGAUCCUGGCUCAGAAUGAACGCUGGCGGCGUGCUUAACACAUGCAAGUCGCACGAGAACUCUUCUGCUUGCAGAAGAUAGUAAAGUGGCGCACGGGUGAGUAACGCGUGGGUAAUCUACCUCUGAAUUGGGGAUAACAUUGUGAAAGCGAUGCUAAUACCGAAUAAUAUCCCGAGAACUUAGGCUUUUGGGAUCAAAGGUGGCCUCUACAUGUAAGCUACUGUUUAGAGAUGAGCCCGCGUACCAUUAGCUUGUUGGUAGGGUAAUGGCCUACCAAGGCAACGAUGGUUAGCUGGUCUGAGAGGAUGAUCAGCCACACUGGAACUGACACACGGUCCAGACUCCUACGGGAGGCAGCAGUGAGGAAUUUUGCGCAAUGGAGGAAACCCUGACGCAGCAACGCCGCGUGAGUGAUGAAGGCUUUCGAGUCGUAAAGCUCUGUCAAGUGAGAAGAAUCUACUUUUUGUUAAUACCAAUAAGUACUGACGGUAUCACUGAAGGAAGCACCGGCUAACUCCGUGCCAGCAGCCGCGGUAAUACGGAGGGUGCAAGCGUUAUUCGGAAUUAUUGGGCGUAAAGGGCGCGUAGGCGGUCUUUUAAGUCAGAUGUGAAAGCCCGGGGCUCAACCCCGGAAGUGCAUUUGAAACUAAGGGACUUGAGUAUGGGAGAGGGAAGUGGAAUUCCUGGUGUAGAGGUGAAAUUCGUAGAUAUCAGGAGGAACACCGGUGGCGAAGGCGACUUCCUGGACCAAUACUGACGCUGAGGCGCGAAGGCGUGGGGAGCAAACAGGAUUAGAUACCCUGGUAGUCCACGCAGUAAACGGUGAACACUAGGUGUAGCGGGUAUUGACCCCUGCUGUGCCGCAGUUAACGCAUUAAGUGUUCCGCCUGGGGAGUACGGCCGCAAGGUUAAAACUCAAAGGAAUUGCCGGG
rnacentral:rRNA from 1 species